CGCCUGCCCAGUGACUCUGAGUUAAAUGGCCGCGGUAUUUUAACCGUGCAAAGGUAGCGUAAUCACUUGUCUUUUAAAUGAAGACCCGUAUGAAUGGCAUCACGAGGGCCCAGCUGUCUCCUUUUCCCAGUCAAUGAAAUUGAUCUGCCCGUGCAGAAGCGGGCAUGUAAACAUAAGACGAGAAGACCCUAUGGAGCUUAAGAUAUAUGACCAACCGCGCUUAGUAACCCUAAACCCAAAAGGAAACAAAAGGCAAAAGCGUAGCGGAACAUGGACUGAAUAUCUUCGGUUGGGGCGACCGCGGAGGAAAACAAAGCCUCCAUGUGGACUGAGCCAAGCCCUUAAAGCCAAGAGACACAACUCUAAGCAACAGACAAAUCUGACCAAAAAUGAUNNCAAAGCCCGAUCAACGGACCAAGUUACCCUAGGGAUAACAGCGCAAUCCUUUCCCAGAGUCCAUAUCGACGAAAGGGUUUACGACCUCGAUGAUUGGAUCAGACAUCCUAAUGGCGCAGCAGCUAUUAAGGGUUCGUUUGUUCAA
rnacentral:rRNA from 1 species